rnacentral:rRNA from 1 species
GUCUUUUAGUAAGCCCUAUUAAAAGUUCGGCCUGCCCAGUGAGAAUUUAAACGGCCGCGGUAGCCUGACCGUGCUAAGGUAGCGCAAUCACUCGCCCUUUAAUUGUGGGCUAGUAUGAAUGGCCAGACAAGAGCUUUUCUGUCUCAAAUUAUUCUUAUGGAAACUUACUUUUAGGUGCAGAGGCCUAAAUAAUAGAAAAAGACAAGAAGACCCUAUCGAGCUUUAAUUUUAUUGUUUUGUACUAAAACAUAUAAAUUUUUAUUGGGGCAAUAUAGGAACAAAUAAACUUUCCUUUCAUUUUAACCGACUUAUCAGUCCAGAUCCAAUCUUAUUUCUCACUAGAAAAAGCUACCGUAGGGAUAACAGACUAAUUUCCUUUAAGAGUCCACAUUGACAAGGAAGCUUGGCACCUCGAUGUUGGCUUAAGAUAACAGCUAUUUUUCCGAAGCAGAACUCUAUGCUGUAGGUUUGUUCAACCUUUAAAAUCUUA